rnacentral:rRNA from 1 species
AUUGAACGCUGGCGGCAUGCUUUACACAUGCAAGUCGAACGGCAGCGCGGGGGCGAACCCUGGCGGCGAGUGGUCGAACGGGUGAGUAAUGUAUCGGAACGUAUCCUGUAAUGGGGGAUAACCAGUCGAAAGAUUGGGUAAUACCGCAUACGCACGAGAGUGGAAAGUAGGGGAUCGCAAGACCUUACGUUAUAGGAGCGGCCGAUAUCUGAUUAGCUAGUUGGUGGGGUAAAGGCCUACCAAGGCGACGAUCAGUAGCUGGUCUGAGAGGACGACCAGCCACACUGGGACUGAGACACGGCCCAGACUCCUACGGGAGGCAGCAGUGGGGAAUUUUGGACAAUGGGCGCAAGCCUGAUCCAGCCAUGCCGCGUGCGGGAAGAAGGCCUUCGGGUUGUAAACCGCUUUUGUCGGGGAAGAAAUCUUCUGGGUUAAUACCUCGGGAGGAUGACGGUACCUGAAGAAUAAGCACCGGCUAACUACGUG